CCCUUUAGCCUGGAAUAACUCUUCGAAAGAAGAGCUAAUACCGGAGAGACCACAAGGACAUCAGUCCGAGGGGUUAAAGGUGGGGACCGCAAGGCCUACCACUAAAGGAUGAGCCCAUGCACUAUCAGCUAGUUGGUGAGGUAAUGGCUCACCAAGGCUAUGACGGUUAGCUGGUCUGAGAGGAUGAUCAGCCACACUGGAACUGAGACACGGUCCAG
rnacentral:rRNA from 1 species